GACGAACGCUGGCGGCGUGCUUAACACAUGCAAGUCGAACGAAAAGAGGGAAAGAGCUUGCUCUUUCCGGAAUUGAGUGGCAAACGGGUGAGUAACACGUAAACAACCUGCCUUCAGGAUGGGGACAACAGACGGAAACGACUGCUAAUACCGAAUAAGUUCCAAGGGCCGCAUGGCCCAUGGAAGAAAAGGUGGCCUCUACCUGUAAGCUAUCGCCUGAAGAGGGGUUUGCGUCUGAUUAGCUGGUUGGAGGGGUAACGGCCCACCAAGGCGACGAUCAGUAGCCGGUCUGAGAGGAUGAACGGCCACACUGGAACUGAGACACGGUCCAGACUCCUACGGGAGGCAGCAGUGGGGAAUCUUCCGCAAGAGGCGAAAGCCUGACGGAGCAACGCCGCGUGAGUGAUGACGGCCUUCGGGUUGUAAAACUCUGUGAUCCGGGACGAAAAGGCAGAGUGCGAAGAACAAACUGCAUUGACGGUACCGGAAAAGCAAGCCACGGCUAACUACGUG
rnacentral:rRNA from 1 species